CGGCCGGACCGCGCUGCUGGACAGCGUCGCGCGGCUGCUGGCCGCGGACGGGGCGCGGGUCCUGCCGCUGCGGCUCGGCACCGGACCGGACGGC
rnacentral:tRNA from 1 species